rnacentral:misc_RNA from 1 species
ACUUACGAAGAUUUGGCCAUAUGAAGAGACCGAUGAAUAUGGUUUUGUUCAAGGGCUUUUUGUGAUGAUGCGUUUUCUUUUCUCUCGUGAGCCAGACUCUUUUAUUACAAACCAAUCUAUGGAUUUUCUGGAGGAACGUCGGAAGGCAGAAAUGAAUGCAUCUCGUCUUUGCUUUAGCCUGAGUUCUUAUCUCUGUUUUCUUGUUACGAAGAAGUCUUUAAGAUUGCCGGUCUCAGAUGGUCGAAUGGACUAUCGCACUUCUGCUGGUCAGCAACAGCCAACAUUGAAUUUACUUGGUUUUCUUCUCAACUCGCUGACUACAGCAUUGGAAAGAGCUACUGAGGACAGAUAUUUAUUGCUUAGCAAGAUUCAAGACAUAAAUGAACUUUCAAGACAGGAAGUGGAUGAAAUCAUCAAUAUGUGUGUUCCCAAGGGUUGUAUUUCGUCGUCCGAGAACAUUCAGAAAAGGAGAUAUGUCGCGAUGUUGGAGAUGUGCCAGAUUGUUGGAGAUAGGAAUCAACUUAUGACACUAUUGCUUUUACUAGCGGAAAACGUGAUGAAUAUUAUCCUUGUUCAUUUUCAGGACAGUUCUUUUGAAUGUGACAACAAACGCUACUCAAAAGAUGACUUGAAUUUGCUAUGUGGAAAGUUAAUUUCAGCUUUGGAGAGGCUUGAAUUACUAAGCGAGGAUAAAACAGGUCAUGACCUUAAAGUAUUUCGAAGAUUAGCUAGUUCUCUGAAAGAAAUAUCGAUUCAGAAGUCACCUGUUUGACCGGCCAUCUCCUUCUUUUGUUCUUUCAUAAAUUUUUAGCAUAGGGGGGUAUGAGGAAUUUAGUUGUAAUGUAAUUGUAUAUUUAUCUUUUACAUAGUGCUUGUCCUAUAUUUUUUUAAUCCUCCAAUCUGUUGUACAUAUUGUAUAUCAUACUUACAGCCUCUUUUGUGCUUUUUGUGGGGGAGUUCUGAAUGUUACAG